UUAAAAUCAAACACAUUUUUUUCUUCUGGUAAUAUCUCUUCAUAGGGAGUACCGGGUCCCAAGGGAGAGCCAGGGGAGAAGGGUUUGCCGGACAUUAGCUUGCAGAUGUUCCACGACUUGCAGGCAGACCUUGAGCUUCUGGCUCGCAGGGUGACACUGCUGGAGGCUAUCAUCUGGCCAGAGCCUGAUCUAGGGUCUGGGGAUGGACCGUUUGGCACAGCCUCCCCUAGUUUCUACAGAGAUAAGCGAGCAGGUGCUCUUCCAUAUCGACUUGCUUCUCCUCUGUCCUCCGACACCAAGGUUCAAGGGAAGUAAAUCCCCCUGCUCACCCUGAGGAUCACAGACUGGGUUGACCCGCCCCCCUCCCCCAAACACCUGCCCCCCCUUUCCUAUACUAUAGGUCUCAUCAGCACUCUAUAGAUUUAGACCUUAUCUGAUCCCCUGUGUAGGGUUUAUCAUCAGAUUAAGGAUGGGGGACACCUCAGGGAAACUCCACUGAUACUCCAUAAUGGUCCUCCUCAAUUGGGAAAUUGAGAACUAGUUUGACCCCCAGCCAUCACCAUAACCACUUAUCUGCACAUAAUACACCCGUAAAACACCUCUCAUUUUCUGUAGCUGCAGGCCAAACGCCUCAGGUCAUAUUUAAAAAAAAAAAAAAAAAAAAAAAAAGAGAGAAUCUGUUGUGCUUCUUGAGCUAAAAACUUUUCUGGACAAUAAGGGGCACAUAGAGUAUUCAGUUGAAGGAGAAAUCAGAUGUGAGAAAAGAGACUGGAUUUAGGUUUGUAUUGCUUUCACAACUGCAAUAUGAACACAUUCCAUUAUUUAAGUAUAUUGAGCAUGUGCAGUCUGCAGGACACAAUUAUACAAACCUCUUCUAUUAGUAUUAAUUUUGUUAUACUUCUUUCAUAUUGUAUAACUCAAUGUUAUGUAGUGCACUAAAAUCUUAAGUCAUCUCUACUUUAAGUGAGAUCUGUGUUGCUAACAGUGAUUUGUUGUUUUCUGGUGUGAGUGUUUUUCCCCUUAAAGUACACACUGUUAAUAUUUACGUGUAAUUAAAAAAAAAAAAAAUCAUAAACUUUUGCAUUUGUUUUCGCUACAUAUUGGUGAAAACGUUGUGUUCUAAAAUCUGAAUAUGUUGAAAUGAAAUAUGGCUGUCCAUUUAUAAUCUUUAAGACAAACACGCACGCACACAAAAGAAAUAACAAAACUGUUAACAGAACUUGAACAUUUUUUUUUUUACCACUGCUGUGUUGGUAAAUUUAAGACUGCUUAAACUGUCCUGAUGAAAACACUUGAUGAUUUUUUUUUCAUCUUAAAACAAACCUAUUGUGAAACUAUUUAAAAUGAUCAAGUGUAGUUUAUUUUGUAUGCUGUCAUGUAACCAUUUCAUAUUUUGAACUUUUUUUUCCUUGCCAAUGUGUUAUUGUGUUAAGAUAAUCCUGUGUAGGUUGAUCGGUGUAAUUAAAAA
rnacentral:lncRNA from 1 species